rnacentral:rRNA from 1 species
AUGGCGACACCGCUCCGCCUCGCCGCGCUCCUCCUCCUCGUCCUCGUCGCGGCCUUCGCCUCCGCCGCGCGCGCUGAUCUCGUCAUCUCCAGGGCGGAUCGGAAGGUUGAUUUGACUUCGCACAUCGUCCGCGUCCUCACUUCGCUCAAGGUUGAAAAUGCCGGCUCCGAGCCUGUCUCUAAAGUCUUGCUGGCUUUUCCCAACAUCCAAGCAAAAAACCUGGCAGCGAUCAGAGCAUUCGGCACUGAGGGAAAAGUGAAGGGUCUCAGUAGUAUUCUUCCGAUUGAAGUUGUUGAGCCUUCUGGUGUUCCCCCAGAACUGACCUUCUUUUCAGCAUCGUUGCACAAACCUUUGACAAAGGGGAAGAUUCUUCACUUAGAUGUCUUGACCGUAUUUACACACUUUCUCCAGCCGUUCCCAGAAGAGAUCACCCAAGCCGAUUCGCAGCUGGUUGUCUUUCAGGAUAGCUCUCACUACCUGUCUCCUUACCCUGUUAAGGUCCAGACGCUUAGUAUCAGAUUGCCUGGUGGAAGGGUUGAAUCAUACACAAAAUAUGGAAACACAAAACUUGUGGAUUCCGAGCUUAAAUAUGGACCGUAUGAAGAUGUUCCCCCGUUUUCUUACAACCCUAUUAUUGUGCACUUUGAGAACAACAACCCAUUUGCAGUUGCAAAGGAACUUAUAAGGGAGGUUGAGAUAUCUCACUGGGGCAAUGUACAGAUUACAGAACAUUACAACAUUGUUCAUGGUGGUGCCAGACUGAAGGGUGAAUUCUCCAGGCUUGACUACCAGUCUAGACCUUAUGCAAGAGGGGUUUCAUCAUUUAGGCAUCUCAUUGCUAGAUUGCCUGCAAGGGCCCACUCUAUUUAUUACAGAGAUGAAAUCGGUAAUAUUUCAACAUCACACUUAUGGAGUGAUUCUAAGAAGACCCAACUGGAAAUUGAACCGAGGUUUCCCUUGUUUGGUGGUUGGCAAACAACCUUUACCAUUGGUUAUGGUUUACCUCUUCAAGACUUUGUUUUCAGUGCUGAUGGAAAGAGAUUUCUCAAUAUCACAUUUGGUUCUCCAAUGGAGGAGAUUCUCAUAGAAAAGCUCAUCGUAAAGGUGAAGUAUUCACAUCUUGACAUUGCUGGAAGGCCAGUUCUAGUCUUGGAGAAGCCUGAUGUUAUUCCAGAGCAUAAUUUGCAUUUCCAGGUGUACUACAAAUUCAAUAACAUCUCGUUGCUCAUAGAGCCGAUGAUGUUGAUUACUGGCUUCUUCCUCCUGUUUGUUGCAUGUAUUGCCUACAUGCACACUGACAUGUCAAUCUCUAAGAACUCUCCUUCUUAUCUGGCAAAGCUGCAAUGGGAUGAGUAUUGUGCAGUGCUGAUUUCUGAUGGCUCUUUUGUUCUCCUGGUGCAGGUGCAAGCCACUGUUCAGCAAAUCCAGGGUAUCUUCGGCCAGUGCUUAGCUGUUCAUGAUAAGCUAGAGACAUCAUUGCACGAUUUGUCUAGGACUGGAGAUGCUAAAUCUUGCAAAGCAGCUCGUAAAGCAGCUGAUGCACAGUUGAAGGAAUUAGCGAAAGAGCUGAAGCCACUGUGGUUAUCUGUACAGUCAUCCCCUCAGUCUUAUCAGAUAUGGCCAAAGCUAGAGGACUUGGUUGCGAAGGAGAAGGAGUUGCAGGAGAAGCUCAUGGCAAGGCAUGCCACCGUGGUUGACAGCGUCGAGAAGAAGCAGCGCGGGCAAGACAUAGAAAACCGGAUUGCUUCCCAGCAGCAGAAGAUCGCUGCGCUGAGGCAAGAGGUCGAAUCUCUUCUAGAGUACCUUAGCGAGAUAUGA